rnacentral:rRNA from 1 species
CCUACGUGAGGCAGCAGUGGGGGAUAUUGCACAAUGGGGGGAACCCUGAUGCAGCGACGCCGCGUGGGUGAAGGAGUGCUUCGGCAUUUAAAGCCCUAUCGUCAGGGAAGAAGCAAGACGGUACCUGACUAUGAAGCCCCGGCUAAAUACGUGCCAGCAGCCGCAGUAAUACGGCGGGGGCGACCGUUAUCCGGAAUCGCUGGGUGUAACGGGUGCGUAGACGGCCAUGCAAGCCAGGGGUGAAAGCCCGGGGCCCAACCCCGGGACUGCCCUUGAAACUGCAUGGCUGGAGUGCGGGAGGGGCAGGCGGAAUGCGUGGGGUAGCGGUGAAAGGCGUAGAUAUCAGGAGGAACACCGGCGGCGAAGGCGGCCUGCUGGACCGCGACUGACGUUGAGGCUCGAAAGCGUGGGGAGCGAACAGGAUUAGAUACCCGAGUAGUC